UACAGAGGGUGCGAGCGUUAAUCGGAAUUACUGGGCGUAAAGCGCGCGUAGGCGGCUUUGCAAGUCGGGUGUGAAAUCCCCAGGCUUAACCUGGGAACUGCAUUCGAGACUGCAUUGCUAGAGUAUGGGGAGAGGGAAGUGGAAUUUCCGGUGUAGCGGUGAAAUGCGUAGAUAUCGGAAGGAACAUCAGUGGCGAAAGCGACUUCCUGGACCAAUACUGACGCUCAUGUGCGAAA
rnacentral:rRNA from 1 species